UGUGGAAAUCAUGAAUCAAUCUCUCUUCCCAUCUCUAUCCCCAUCUCUCUGCGUGCCGAAGCCGAAGACAAAAAGGCAGAUCGUCCAACGAAAGGAAAACCCUACAAACAAACUCCACAGAGACGCACGAAGUCUUAAUACUCUGCAAACACAAUCGCAACCCUCGUGUAAAAUUGAAAAAUUGGUUGAACCCGAUAGGGUUUUGGAUGAUUAAUCCAACCAAUCUACUCCAUUCUGCAUCCUCCUCUUCAGUUUUACAAUGGGAGCUAGUCGAAAACUACAGGGUGAAAUCGAUCGUGUUCUGAAGAAAGUUCAAGAGGGCGUCGAUGUUUUUGAUAGCAUCUGGAACAAGGUUUAUGACACAGACAAUGCGAAUCAGAAGGAGAAGUUCGAGGCCGAUUUGAAGAAGGAGAUCAAGAAACUCCAGAGGUACAGAGAUCAGAUCAAAACAUGGAUUCAGUCCAGUGAGAUCAAGGAUAAGAAGGUUAGUGCCUCUUAUGAGCAGGCUCUGAUGGAUUCUCGCAAGCUCAUUGAGCGUGAAAUGGAAAGGUUUAAGAUAUGUGAAAAGGAAACUAAGACAAAAGCUUUCUCCAAGGAAGGCCUGGGCCAACAACCUAAGACAGAUCCAAAGGAGAAGGCUAAAUCAGAGACAAGAGAUUGGUUGAACAAUGUGGUGGGAGAGUUGGAAUCUCAAAUUGAUAGCUUUGAAGCGGAGAUUGAAGGUCUCUCUGUUAAGAAAGGGAAAACAAGGCCUCCCAGAUUGACACAUUUAGAGGCAUCCAUUACCCGACACAAGGCUCAUAUAAUGAAGUUAGAAUUGAUUUUAAGGCUAUUGGAUAAUGAUGAACUAAGUCCCGAGCAGGUCAAUGAUGUUAAAGAUUUCUUGGAUGACUAUGUGGAGCGUAAUCAGGAGUUCUUUGAUGAAUUUAGUGAUGUUGAUGAACUUUACAACACUUUGCCAUUAGACAAGGUGGAGUCUCUUGAAGAUCUUGUAGCAAUUGUGCCUCCUGGUCUUGCUAAGGGUGUUGGUACCACCAGUGCAGUUUUAAGCGUAAAAACUUCUUUGACAGCACCACCAGCUCAACCACCUGCCACAGUGACAUCUUCUGUUCAACAGGGUACUUCCAUCCAGGAGCAAGUUGAGGAGACCGCUUCCCAGGACAGUAUUUCUGAUCAGGUUGCAAGGACUCCGACUAAAAAUAGUCCAAUUGGUUCUUCUUCUCCAACAACACCAGUGGGGAGCCAUGCAACUCCUGGUAUGGUAAAUGCUUCAACUCAUAAUUUGUCUAUUGCAUCAGCUGCUCCAGUGAUCCUUCCAGGUCCGAGUUCUGUUCGAGGUGUCUUAGAAAAUGCUGGUGCUGCUGCAUCUUCAUCUUCUUUAAAUCUGUCUAUUUCUGCUAAGGAAGAAGAGUCUGCAAGCUUCCCUGGUCGAAAAUCAUCUCCGGCUCUUGCUGAAACAGGACUUAGGGGCAUUGCUAGAGGUGGCCUAACCACUCUUCCACCUACUAGUGUAACUCAUAGUUCUGGCAGUGCAAUUCCUAGCAAUGGAGCCCUUGGUGCUGUUCCUUCAGCUUCUGAAAUGACAAAGAGAAAUAUAUUGGGAACUGAUGAGAGACUUGGUAGUAGUGGCAUGGUGCAGCCUUUGGUUUCCCCUUUAAGUAAUAGAAUGAUCAUGCCCCAGGCUGCAAAGGCUAACGAUGGGGCCGGCUCAGCUGAUGGUGGCAACAUUGGUGAGGCUGCAGUUAUGGCUGGCAGGGUCUUCUCACCCUCUGUAGUUUCUGGUAUACAGUGGAGGCCUGGAAGUUCCUUUCAGAACCAGAGUGAAGUGGGACAGUUCCGUGGAAGAACUGAAAUUGCACCUGAUCAGAGAGAGAAGUUUUUGCAGCGAUUCCAGCAGGUGCAGCAACAAGGUCAGAGUAACCUUCUUGGCAUGCCUCCUCUUGGUGGGGGAAAUCAUAAGCAAUUCUCUGCACAACAACAGAACUCUCUCUUGCAGCAGUUCAAUUCUCAAGGCUCGCCUGUCUUGCCUCAAGUUGGGUUGGGACUUGGAGUCCAAGCACCUGGUCUUAACACUGUUGCAUCUUCCUCACAGCAGCAGCCAAAUUCGAUCCACCAACAGUCUGCUCAGCAGGCAUUGAUAUCAACAGGACCAAAUGAUGCUGAAGUCGGUCAUGCAAAACUUGAGGAGACGCAGCAACAGCAGAAUCUAUCUGAUGAUUCAACCGCUGAACCUGUUCCAAGUUCUGGGCUUGGCAUGAAUCUCAUCAAUGAUGGUGAUUUGAAAGCUUCUUUUCCAGUAGAUACACCUGCAGGAGCAUCUGGCUCUUUGACAGAGUCUGCCCAAGUGCCAAGGGAUAUUGAUCUUUCUCCUGGUCAGCCUUUGCAAUCCAAUCAAACCUCUGGAAGCCUUGGUGUUAUUGGUCGAAGAAGUGUUUCAGACCUUGGCACAAUUGGUGAUAACCUUGGUGGAUCAUCUACAAAUUCAGGGGGAAUGCAUGACCAAUUAUACAAUUUUCAGAUGCUUGAGGCUGCUUAUUACAAACUUCCUCAACCCAAAGACUCUGAACGUGCAAAGAGCUACAAUCCGAGACACCCUGCAGCGACUCCUCCUAGCUAUCCUCAAUCACAGGCACCCAUUGUCAAUAAUCCUGCAUUUUGGGAACGAUUAGGAGCUGAAUCUUAUGGCACCGAUACCCUAUUCUUUGCGUUUUACUAUCAACAGAAUACUUAUCAGCAAUAUUUGGCUGCAAAGGAGUUGAAGAAGCAAUCGUGGAGAUACCAUCGGAAAUACAACACAUGGUUUCAACGGCAUGAAGAGCCUAAGGUGACCACUGAUGAGUAUGAACAGGGCACAUAUGUUUACUUCGAUUUCCAUAUCACCAAUGACGAGAUGCAACAUGGAUGGUGCCAAAGAAUCAAGACUGAAUUCACUUUUGAAUACAACUUUCUUGAAGAUGAACUUGUCGUAUAGAACCCUGCAGCAGAUUGAUUAUCAUCUUUAACUUCCCGGUUUGUGCCAAUGCUUACAAGACUUGAAAUUUCAUACAAUCAUAAGGAAAUGUGUUGACGUUGAGCUUUGGUGACAUAGACAGACCUCUUGGUGUGUCGGAUAUCAUUAGAUUACUUGGAGUGAUUUUCAAAAUAGACUCAGAUGAAUUGGAGAUUCAGAUUACUUAGGAAUUGAAGGAGGAAAAAAUCUGCAUGAUUAGCCUGCUAGUAGUAUCCUGCGCUUGAGGGGUUGACCUUGAAGAAUUUGUUUUUUGUUUUAGGUUCUCAUAUUGUUGAAAGUGUUUUGGUUCUUCAUGUUCUCUGAUAGUAUUCAAGCCAUGCCUGAGACCGGAUCAGAGUCUCAUGCAGUGGCAACACUUACAUAUUAUGAACUGCAGAAGGAGACGGCUAAUAUUCUCUAGGGGAGGAAGCAACUCCAAGAUGUGACUUGACAAUGGAUGAUGAAUCAAUAUUAUAUUUGCUUUGUUCAUCAACAUUUAUAAAUUAGAAAAUAUGGCAUUUAGGUUUGUGUUUUAUGUUUGAAGGUUAUUAUAUUGCUUGGGAUGGAUUGUAAAAUUGGUUGCCCCUGGGACUGAAAUUUAUUGAAUUCUUGAUCUUUUAUGGUU